rnacentral:rRNA from 1 species
UGGCGGACGGGUGAGUAACGCGUGGGUAACCUGCCUCACACAGGGGGAUAACAGUUGGAAACGGCUGCUAAUACCGCAUAAGCGCACAGUACCGCAUAGUACAGUGUGAAAAACUCUGGUGGUGUGAGAUGGACCCGCGUCUGAUUAGCUGGUUGGCAGGGUAACGGCCUACCAAGGCGACGAUCAGUAGCCGACCUGAGAGGGUGACCGGCCACAUUGGGACUGAGACACGGCCCAAACUCCUACGGGAGGCAGCAGUGGGGGAUAUUGCACAAUGGGGGAAACCCUGAUGCAGCGACGCCGCGUGAGCGAAGAAGUAUUUCGGUAUGUAAAGCUCUAUCAGCAGGGAAGAAGAAAUGACGGUACCUGACUAAGAAGCACCGGCUAAAUACGUGCCAGCAGCCGCGGUAAUACGUAUGGUGCAAGCGUUAUCCGGAUUUACUGGGUGUAAAGGGAGCGCAGGCGGAAGGCUAAGUCUGAUGUGAAAGCCCGGGGCUCAACCCCGGUACUGCAUUGGAAACUGGUCAUCUAGAGUGUC